GAUGAACGCUGCGGCGUGCCUAAUACAUGCAAGUCGAGCGAACAGAUGAGGAGCUUGCUCCUCUGACGUUAGCGGCGGACGGGUGAGUAACACGUGGAUAACCUACCUAUAAGACUGGGAUAACUUCGGGAAACCGGAGCUAAUACCGGAUAAUAUAUUGAACCGCAUGGUUCAAUAGUGAAAGACGGUUUUGCUGUCACUUAUAGAUGGAUCCGCGCCGCAUUAGCUAGUUGGUAAGGUAACGGCUUACCAAGGCAACGAUGCGUAGCCGACCUGAGAGGGUGAUCGGCCACACUGGAACUGAGACACGGUCCAGACUCCUACGGGAGGCAGCAGUAGGGAAUCUUCCGCAAUGGGCGAAAGCUUGACGGAGCAACGCCGCGUGAGUGAUGAAGGUCUUCGGAUCGUAAAACUCUGUUAUUAGGGAAGAACAAAUGUGUAAGUAACUAUGCACGUCUUGACGGUACCUAAUCAGAAAGCCACGGCUAACUACGUG
rnacentral:rRNA from 1 species